rnacentral:rRNA from 1 species
CCUACGGGAGGCAGCAGUGAGGAAUAUUGGUCAAUGGGCGGGAGCCUGAACCAGCCAAGUCGCGUGAGGGAAGACGGUCCUAUGGAUUGUAAACCUCUUUAGGCGGGGAGCAAUGCCGGGCACGCGUGCCCGGAGGGAGAGCACCCGCAGUAUAAGCAUCGGCAAACUCCGUGCCAGCAGCCGCGGUAAUACGGAGGACGCGAGCGUUAUCCGGAUUUAUUGGGUUUAAAGGGUGCGUAGGCGGAGUUUUAAGUCAGCGGUAAAAUGUCCGGGCUCAACCCGGGCCGGCCGUUGAAACUGGGGAGCUUGAGUGGGCGAGAGGUAUGCGGAAUGCGUGGUGUAGCGGUGAAAUGCAUAGAUAUCACGCAGAACUCCGAUUGCGAAGGCAGCAUACCGGCGCCCGACUGACGCUGAGGCACGAAAGCGUGGGGAUCGAACAGGAUUAGAUACCCCAGUAGUC